rnacentral:tRNA from 1 species
GGGGACGUAGCUCAGUUGGGAGAGCGUCUGAAUGGCAUUCAGAAGGUCGGCGGUUCGAUCCUGCUCGUCUCCA